rnacentral:rRNA from 1 species
UACAGAGGGUGCGAGCGUUAAUCGGAAUUACUGGGCGUAAAGGGCGCGUAGGCGGCCAACUAAGUCAGACGUGAAAUCCCCAGGCUCAACCUGGGAACUGCGUCUGAUACUGGAUGGCUCGAGUUCGGGAGAGGGAAGCGGAAUUCCAGGUGUAGCGGUGAAAUGCGUAGAUAUCUGGAGGAACACCGGUGGCGAAGGCGGCUUCCUGGACCGACACUGACGCUGAGGCGCGAAAGCUAGGGGAGCAAACGGG